rnacentral:rRNA from 1 species
UACGUAGGGAGCAAGCGUUGUUCGGAUUUACUGGGCGUAAAGGGCGCGUAGGCGGCGCGGUAAGUCACUUGUGAAAUCUCUGAGCUUAACUCAGAACGGCCAAGUGAUACUGCAGUGCUAGAGUGCAGAAAGGGCAAUCGGAAUUCUUGGCGUAGCGGUGAAAUGCGUAGAUAUCAAGAGGAACACCUGAGGCGAAGGCGGGUUGCUAGGCUGACACUGACGCUGAGGCGCGAAAGCUAGGGUAGCAAACGGG